CCACCAUCGCUCCUGUG
rnacentral:misc_RNA from 1 species